rnacentral:lncRNA from 1 species
UGCUGUGGGGUUCUAUGGGGUGGGUUAUGGGGCGCUAUGGGGGUUAUGGGGCGCUAUGGGGGCGCUAUGGGCUGUGGGGUGCAAUGGGGGCUCUGGGGUCUCUUUGGGGUCUCGGGGGUCACUUUUGGGGACUUUUUUGGGCUUUUUGGGCGUCACUUUGGGGUUUUUGGGGUCACUUUUGGGGAGUUUUUGGGCUUUUGGGGGGUCUCGGGCCUCUGGGGCUUUUUGGAGAUUUUUUUGGGGCUUUUGGGUCUGGGGGCUUUGGGGGUCCCUUUUGGGGCCUCUUUGGGGCUUUUGGGGUCACUUUUGGGGAGUUUUUGGGCUUUUUGGGGUCACUUUGAAGUUUUUGGGGUCUGGGGGCUUUUUGGGCGUCACUUUGGGGCUUUUGGGGUCUCUUUUGGGGACUUUUUGGGGUUUUGGGGAGUCUCGGGCCUGUGGGUUUUUUUGGGGAUUUUUUUGGGGAUUUUUUUGGGUUUUUUUGGGGUUUUUUUAACUUUUGGGGGUCCCUUUUUGAGGGUCCCCCCACUGACUGACCCCUCUCCCCUCCCCCACAGCGCUGUGUGCCCCUCCCCCCAUGGGGGCCGCCCCCACCCCCACCCCUGCCCCUCCCCCACCCCGGCGCUGCGGCCCCACCGCCCCUCCCCCACCGCCCUCCCCUCCCCCACCCCCGGAGCUGCCACCGGACUGCGACGAGAGGGCAUCGGGGACACCUCUGGGGACAUCGGGGACAUCUCUGGGGACAUCGGGGACACCCUUGGGGACACCGGGGACAUCGUUGGGGACAUCUCUGGGGACAUCAGGGACAUCGGGGACACCUCUGGGGACAUCCCUGGGGGCGGCCCCAGGGACCCCCAACUGCUCCAGGGACGUCCCGGUGGCGGACGCGGCGCUGGUGGCCCCCGGUGGGGACAUCGCGGUGGAGGGGACAGAAGAUCCGAGUGCCACCGGUGACCCCAGGGAUGCUCUGGGACGUGUCACUGAAGCCUAUGGAGAUGCCACCACCAUGGUGGCCGCUGUCGCCACGUCCCCAGGAGGGGACCGAGCUCUGGUGGGCACCACUGGGGAUGUCACCAUGGAGGGGACGGCCCAGCCCAGUGCCACCAACUGCUCCUGGGACACUUUGGGACGCGUCCCUGAGGUCCCUGGAGAUGCCACCAUCACGUCGGCCUCUGUCCCAGUGUCCUCAGGAGGUGACAAAGUGCUGGAAGUCACAAGUGGGGACGUGGCAAUAGAGGAGACAGCCCAGCCCGAUGUCACCGGUGACCCCAGGGACACUCUGGGAUUCAUCACUGAAGCCUAUGGAGAUGCCACCACCAUGGUGGCCACUGUCACCACAUCCCCAGGAAGUGACAAAAUCCUGGUGGCCACCCAGGGUGACAUCGAGGUGGAGGGGACAGAAGAUCCAGGUGCCACCGGUGACCCCAGGGACAGUUCGGGACACGUCACUGAAGCCUACGGAGAUGCCACCACCACGAUGGCCUCUGUCCCAGUGUCCUCAGGAGGUGACAAAGUCCUGGUGGCCACCAGUGGGGACGUGGCCAUGGGGGGGACAGAAGAUCCGAGUGUCACCGAUGACCCCAGGGACGCUCUGGGACGCGUCAGCGAAGCCUACGCAGAUGCCACCACGAUGGUGGCCACUGUCACCACAUCCCCAGGAGGUGACAAAGUCCUGGUGGCCACCAGUGGGGACGUGACCAUGGAGGUGACGGCCACACCUGAAGCCACUGGUGACCCCAGGGACACUUUGGGACAUCUCAGUGAUGUCACUGGAGAUGCCACCACCACGGCGGCCUCUGUCCCAGUGUCCCCAGGAGGUGACAAAGCCCUGGUGGCCACCAGCGCUGACGUGGCCAUGGAGGGGACAGAAGAUCCGAGUGCCACCGGUGACCCCAGGGGUGCUCUGAGAUGCGUCACCGAAGCCUACGGAGAUGCCACCACCACGAUGGCCACUGUCACCACAUCCCCAGGAAGUGACAAGAUGCUGGUGGCCCCUGGAGAGGAUGUGGCCAUGGAGGGGACGGCCCAGCCCGGUGCCACCAACUGCUCCUGGGACACUUUGGGACGUGUCCCUGAGGUCCCCGGAGAUGCCACCACCACGGUGGCCUCUGUCCCAGUGUCCCCAGGAGGUGACAAAGCCCUGCUGGCCACCAGUGGGGACAUCGCUGUGGAGGGGACAGAAGAUCCAAGUGCCACUGGUGACCCCAGGGACACUUUGGGAUUCAUCACUGAAGCCUACGGAGAUGCCACCACCGUGGUUGCACCUGUCUCCACAUCCCCAGGAAGUGACAAAGUCCUGGUGGCCACCAGUGGGGACGUGGCCAUGGAGGGGACAGCCCAGACCAACAUCACCAGUGACCCCAGGGACACUUUGGGACACGUCACCGAAGCCUACGGAGAUGCCACCACCACGAUGGCCUCUGUCCCAGUGUCCCCAGGAAGUGACAAGAUGCUGGUGGCCCCUGGAGAGGAUGUGGCCAUGGAGGGGACAGCCCAGCCCGGAGCCACCAACUGCUCCUGGGACACUUUGGGACGCGUCCCUGAAGUCCCUGGAGAUGCCACCACCACGGUGGCCUCUGUCCCAGUGUCCCCAGGAUGUGACAAAGCCCUGGAGGCCACCAGUGGGGACGUGGCCAUGGAGGUGACAGAAGAUCCGAGUGUCACCAGUGGCCUUGGGGACACUUUGGGACAUGUCACUGAAGCCUACGGAGAUGCCACCAUCACAAUGGCUCCUUUGACUACGUCCUCAGGAGGUGACAAAGUCCUCGUGGCCACCAGUGGGGACAUCGCGGUGGAGGGGACAGAAGAUCCAGGUGCCACCGGUGACCCCAGGGACAGUUCAGGACACGUCACCGAAGCCUAUGGAGAUGCCACCACCACGAUGGCCUCUGUCCCAGUGUCCUCAGGAGGUGACAAAUUCCUGGUGGCCACCACUGGGGACGUCACCAUGGAGGGGACAGCCCAGCCCGAAGCCACCGGUGACCCCAGGGACACUUUGGGACGCGUCAGCGAAGCCUACGGAGAUGCCACCACCAUGGUGGCCACUGUCACCGUGUCCCCAGGAGGUGACAAAGCCCCGGUGGCCACCAGCGCUGACGUCGCCAUGGAGGUGACGGCCCCGCCCGGUGCCACCAACACCUCCGGGGACCCUCUGGGACGCGCCCCCGACGUCCCCCCCGGUGCCACCACCCCCGUCCCCAACGCCAUCAUGGUGGCCCCGGGCGGUGACGUCGCGGUGGGCGGCCCCGCCCCUCCCCCACCCUGCCACGCCCACUCCUUCCCCGUCACCGCCGCCGCCCCUCCCCCCCCCGGCCCCCCCGGCCUCUCGGGCUCCGCCCCUUCCUCCUCGCCCCUCCCCCUCCUCCUCCUCCUCCUGCUGCCCCUCCCCCUCCUCCUGCCCUGACCGCCCCUCCCCCCCUUAUUUAUUGCCCCUCCCCCCCACCAGAAUAAAGCUCGAAGCUGAUUGGUCAGUUCCGUGUGGUGUCCGCCUGUGGGGGGAGGGGCUCUCCGGGACCCUCCCCCACCCCCUCCCCCACCCC